rnacentral:misc_RNA from 1 species
CUAGCGCGCCAAAAUUAAUACAGGGUACACAGAGACUAGUAUGUUAGGCUCAUUCAAUAUGUAAGGCAAUAAAGUGAACCACCUGGACCUACCAUAUGUACUGAAAAAUGAAAAUGUUAAAAGUGAAAAAAAUCUUUUUCAAAUCAUAUCUAAAGAAAGUGGUUUAUCAAUAAUGGUGUGUGAAAAACAAUUUACUUACAUAACAUACAAUCCUUGACGAUCAAGUACUUUGUUCCAGUUUUUGGCCCUCUAUGUAUUAGGAAUAAAUUAGUGAUAAAAUGGAGUUAAUGCAACCACCCUCGGUUCAGGAUUAUAAGAACGAAGAUGAUUCGGAUUCAGACGUUUCCGAAGAUUCUGCAGGUGGACCUGACCUAGCUCAGUAUGCGGGAAAGAAACAUAUAAAUCGAGGAAGAUGGAAUAAGGAAGAAGAUGAAAAAUUGAAACGAUUAGUUGAGAUUAAUGGAGAACGGUGGGACUUCAUCGCCAGUCAUUUUCCUGACCGGGCAGACGUUCAGUGCCAGCAUAGAUGGCAGAAGGUUGUCAAUCCAGAACUAGUCAAAGGGCCUUGGACCAAAGAGGAGGAUGAAAAAGUGAUAGAACUUGUUAAAAAAUACGGUCCUAAACGAUGGACCUUAAUAGCUAAGCAGCUAAAGGGACGUAUUGGGAAGCAGUGUCGUGAACGGUGGCAUAAUCAUCUUAAUCCGGAGAUAAAGAAAACAGCUUGGACAGAAGAGGAGGAUAGAAUUAUAUUCAAUGCUCACAAACAGUGGGGGAAUCAGUGGGCUAAGAUUGCUAAACUUAUCCCUGGAAGAACGGAUAAUGCGAUUAAGAAUCACUGGAAUAGCACGAUGAAAAGAAAAUAUGAGGAGCAGGACGGACUUACGGAUUCUGGCGGAAAGAGUGCUCGGAAACCCAGAAAAUCUUCCGGAAUCAGGGUUUCCGUAAAUUCAACUGUGAUAGGGGGAACCCUGAUACCCCAGGGAGGAAUGGCGAGGAAGGAUGUAUCUUCUCUUUACGGGAACGCGGUCGGACAGUCUAUGCAGCAGUACACCAUCAUGGGAGGCUCCCAUCAGGUUGGAUAUCCUCAUCAACCCCAGUAUCACCGGGCUCCAAUGUCAACCUGGAACCCUCCGGUCUACAACCAGCAACAACAACAACAGCAGCAGCAGCAACAGGAGACGGUCCAGUGGUCCAACCAGGUGUUUAAACAGGAAACCUUCAAGGUAGAACCUAUUGAUCCUCUUCUACCUGAUCAUAAUUACAACGAGAACACACCACCGCAUCAUCAUCAACAGCAUCAUCAGCAUCAACAACAACAGCAGCAACAUCAUCAACAUCAACAGGAGGAUCCGGAGUUUCAACAUCUUUUCUCUCCUCUUAAAUAUUUGAAUGAUUUGGAUUAUGAUUUACACUACGGCGGGUUAGGAGUAACUCCUCUACCCCUUCAUGGUCAGGUUCGACCUAUCAAGGUAGAACAAGAUACUUGGAACUCUAUGGACUCGAACGACGAGCAUAGUUCACACAACAUAUCUUCGACUCCGCCAAUUUUACGGCGGAGGGCUCGGAAAAGGGAGGCGGACGAUCACGAGUUUCUUCAGAGUCCAAAUCUAUCCUUUGAUAUGACCGGCAGCUUGACUUCAACCCCAACCCAUUCUGGUUUAGUAAACGCUGCGUCCUCCUUAAACCUCUUGUCACAGUCCACGCCUUUGUCCCACAUGAAACCCCAGCAGCAGGGUUCCCUUCUCACUACCCCAACCUUGGUCACAGAUAUGUCAGCUCACAGUACUCCUAAAAUACAGAAAUUUUCCCCUGAACGGAAUCAGACCCGGAACACUGAAGCUCCGCGGACUCCAACCCCGUUUAAGAGAGCGCUGGCCGAGGUGUACAGGGGCAGGGAACCGCUCUCCAACACCCCCCAGACACCCAACAAACGGGUGGAAGAUAUUACGGAGAUUAUUAAGAAGGAUAUGCAGGACUUUACGGAUAGUUUUAACAACUCCGGAGACCAUCAGACACUUCAAGACAGUGGAUAUGGUGGGACGGAUAAGAGAAAUUAUAACGGCAGAUUGAGUGAGGACGGAGGAGACAAGGAGAAUUCAAGUCCACACAAGAGAGGAGCAAGGAAGGCUCUAGCUGCAAGAUGGUCUACCCCUGCAACCCUCUCCAAUAUGAUGUUUGGAUCUGCCGGAGAUCAGUCUUUAAUAAACCCGGAGACUCCGAGUAAAUCCCUCCUAGGAACAGAUUCCUCCAGCUCCAUGCUCUUCAGUCCUCCAUCCAUACUCAAGGAAACUUUACCAGAUCCUCCCAACAUGAACCCUCUCCUGCAAUCCAGCUCAGACGAGAAAUCUCCUCCGACUUCUAAGUUGGAUGUAAGGUGGAACAUGAUUGCUUGUGGGAAGACGAAACCUAGUAUAGAGAUGACCGAACAUGCUCGUCAGUAUUUAUCAGGGAUCAAACCUAGAUCCCUGAACCUCUAGUAUCAGGGAUCAAACCUAGAUCCUUAAACUAGUAUCUGGGAUCAAACCAAGAUCCCUAAACCUCCAGUAUCCGGGAUCAAACCUUGAUCCCUGAACCUCCUGAAGCUGGGAUAAAACCUCAAGUAAACUCUAGUAUCAGCUCAACAUUGUCAGGGCUACACAACUAGUACUCUACCUAAAGAACCAGUGAACUUCAUUUGUCAAAAAAAAACUCUGUUCGACCACUGUUCUGUAGUGAGGAAUACUAGAUAAUGGGUUAGCUGUUAGCUUCAUACAUGAAGAUUAGUUGGAAGUUUGGAGACCUAGUCCCUAGAUCCAACCAACUUUUAGACACUAACUCUAACUUGGUGGAGGACUAUUAUAAACUUUGUGAAUAUUCGAGUAUUCAUCCUGAACCUACAGAUCUUGGCCUUGUUGCCUCUUCACAGUAAAGUUGAUUCAACAACCCGGGAAUAAAUAUAUUUCAGCAUUAGUCAAGAAACCCACGUUUUUUUUCGAAAUGUUUUUCUGUCCAAUUAUGUUUGGACACUUUUUGGUUUCUUAAUACUCGUUGUUUGUUGUGUUAACCGCUGGAGUGAGUUCAAGUUUGUAAUUAAGCCAGUAUAGAUACGCUAGUGAUUCCAUAUAAAUCUGGAAAAUUCUAAAUUGUAUUCAAUUCGAGAUAUUUUACUAUAAAUCUGAAAGUUUGUCUUGUUGUCUGCCUGCAUCCACUUAUUCAUUCUGUGUUUAGAAACCCUUUCAGGCAUUACCACUGUACCAGUGUUAUCAUUUAUGUAAGCAAUUAUACAUUCGUACUGCCAGGCUUCUGUACAUAUUAUGUACAGCAGACUGGACAUUUGCACCCUUAAAAUAUGUACAUUCGCGUGUAAGUAAAAAUAUAUAAACUUGCACACAAUUUUGUAACCUCCUUCGCUUGAUAAAUAAAUCUAAAAAUUAAA